CAAUAGCGUAUAUUAAAGUUGUUGCAGUUAAAAAGCUCGUAGUUGGAUUUCUGGUAGGAUGACUGUGCCCUCAGUAGAGUGUGCGCUGGCGUCUUGCCAUCCUUCUGUUGACCUUUGGGAGCUUCACCGCUCCCUUUGGGGCUCAGAUAUUUUACCUUGAGAAAAUUAGAGUGUUUCAGGCAGGCUAGCGCCGGAAUACAUUAGCAUGGAAUAAUGGAAUAGGACUUUUGCCUCUUCUGUUGGUCAUGGGGUUCGAGUAAUGAUUAAUAGGGAUAGUUGGGGGCAUUAGUACUUCACUGUCAGAGGUGAAAUUCUCGGAUUUGUGAAAGACUAACUUAUGCGAAAGCAUUUGCCAAGGAUGUUUUCAUUAA
rnacentral:rRNA from 1 species